AGGAGAAGAGAAAGGAGAAAGGAGAAAAAGAAGAAGAAGAAGGAGGAAGCAUGCGAGAAGAAGGAGGUUGGAGCAAGAGAGGGAUCAUCUUCACUCACCCCACAUUAAGAGCCGUCAAGUGAUAAGGAAACUCGACACGAGUUCAUCGGUUAUACGUAACUCAUAGGGACAAAAGAUGGUGAUUCAGGGCACCUUCCUGAAGCUGUUAUCGAGGAGGCUCUUUAUAGAGAUGAUCUAUGGGUUGAGGAGCUAGUUGCACAUUAAACAUGUUGUGUGUGUGAUAAUUGUGCCUUCGGGGCACCCUGAAGCUGAGUAUCUGUCUUCCCUUUUUUAUCUUUUGUAUACAUACCUGAUGUAAUCCUAGGGGUAUUAUUGUAAUUAUAUUUUGAUAGGAGAAAACAUCCUUUUAUUUAAAUAUGGUACAUAUCAAUAGAA